GCGCGUAAAUUACCAAUCCUGACAUGGGGAGGUAGUGACAAUAAAUAACAAUACCGAGUGUGUUAGUGUCUGGUAAUUGGAAUGAGUACAAUCUAAAUCCCUUAACAAAGAUCCAUUGGAGGGCAAGUUUGAUGCCAG
rnacentral:rRNA from 1 species